UACGGAGGGGGCUAGCGUUGUUCGGAAUUACUGGGCGUAAAGCGCGCGUAGGCGGACCUGCAAGUCGGGGGUGAAAGCCCGAGGCUCAACCUCGGAACUGCCUUCGAUACUGCGGGUCUCGAGUCCGGGAGAGGUGAGUGGAAUUCCUAGUGUAGAGGUGAAAUUCGUAGAUAUCAGGAAGAACACCCGUGGCGAAGGCGGUUCUCUGGGACGGUACUGACGCUGAGACGCGAAAGCGUGGGGAGCGAACAGG
rnacentral:rRNA from 1 species